UGCAAGUCGAGGGCAGCACGAAUCAAGCUUGCUUGUAGUUGGUGGCGACCGGCGCACGGGUGCGUAACAGGUGUGCAAUCUGUCCAUAAAUCGGGGAAUAGCCCAGCGGAAAAGUUGGGAUUUAAAUGCUCCAUGUGAGCAGGGGAGGCAUCUCCUUUGUUUGAAACGUAAGGAUUAUGGGUGAGCACGCUUCUGAUUAGGUAGUUGGUGAGGUAACGGCUCACCAAGCCGACGAUCAGUAGGGGUUCUGAGAGGAAGGUCCCCCACAUUGGAACUGAGACACGGUCCAAACUCCUACGGGAGGCAGCAGUGAGGAAUAUUGGUCAAUGGACGAAAGUCUGAACCAGCCAAGUCGCGUGAAGGAUGAAGGUUCUAUGGAUUGUAAACUUCUUUUGUCUGAGGGUAAAAAAGCGGACGUGUCCGUUCUUGCAAGUAUCAGACGAAUAAGCAUCGGCUAACUCCGUG
rnacentral:rRNA from 1 species